UGAAAAUCUGGCAGUAACUGUUUGUGUCAUUGGUGGCUGAUGUCCAAAAAAUGGCAGAAAAAAGGAAGAUGGACAUCAGAGAAUUUUUCAGGACACCCAAACGCAAAGCAGAGCAGGCACCAGGUGACACACAGAGAAUAGAGCUGGGGACAGAGCAGGCACAGGGACUCAGGGAGUCUCAGGU